AUCGCCACAACGGCUUCCUGACGUGGCGAAUUACGCAUAUUGGAGCA
rnacentral:ncRNA from 1 species